AUUGAACGCUGGCGGCAUGCCUUACACAUGCAAGUCGAACGGCAGCACGGGUGCUUGCCCCUGGUGGCGAGUGGCGAACGGGUGAGUAAUACAUCGGAACAUGUCCUGUAGUGGGGGAUAGCCCGGCGAAAGCCGGAUUAAUACCGCAUACGAUCUACGGAUGAAAGCGGGGGACCUUCGGGCCUCGCGCUAUAGGGUUGGCCGAUGGCUGAUUAGCUAGUUGGUGGGGUAAAGGCCUACCAAGGCGACGAUCAGUAGCUGGUCUGAGAGGACGACCAGCCACACGGGGACUGAGGCACGGCCCAGACUCCUACGGGAGGCAGCAGUUGGGAAUUUUGGACAAUGGGCGAAAGCCUGAUCCAGCAAUGCCGCGUGUGUGAAGAAGGCCUUCGGGUUGUAAAGCACUUUUGUCCGGAAAGAAAUCCUUGGCCCUAAUACGGUCGGGGGAUGACGGUACCGGAAGAAUAAGCACCGGCUAACUACGUG
rnacentral:rRNA from 1 species